CUCCUACGGGAGGCAGCAGUGGGGAAUAUUUGCACAAUGGGGGAAAACCCUGAUGCAGCGNCGCCGCGUGAGUGAUGAAGUAUUUCNGGUAUGUAAAGGCUCUAUCAGCAGGGAAGAAAAUGACGGUACCUGNCUAAGAANCACCGGCUAAAUACGUGCCAGCAGCCGCGGUAAUAACGUAAUGGUGCAAGCGUUAUCCGGAUUUACUGAUGUGUAAAGGGAGCGCAGGCUGUACGGCAAGUCUGAUGUUGAAANGCCCGGGGCUCAACCCCGGUGCUGCAUUGGAAACUGUCGGAACUAGAGUGUCGGAGGGGUAAUGUGGAAUUCCUAGUGUAGNCGGUGAAAU
rnacentral:rRNA from 1 species